rnacentral:rRNA from 1 species
AGUCGAGGGGCAGCGAGAGUGAUAGCAAUAUUACUUGUCGGCGACCGGCGCACGGGUGCGUAACGCGUAUGCAACCUACCAUCAACAGGGGGAUAACACUGAGAAAUUGGUACUAAUACCCCAUAAUAUCUCAUGCGGCAUCGCAUGGGGUUGAAAACUCCGGUGGUUGAUGAUGGGCAUGCGUUGUAUUAGCUGGUUGGUGAGGUAACGGCUCACCAAGGCGACGAUACAUAGGGGGACUGAGAGGUUAACCCCCCACAUUGGUACUGAGACACGGACCAAACUCCUACGGGAGGCAGCAGUGAGGAAUAUUGGUCAAUGGACGCAAGUCUGAACCAGCCAUGCCGCGUGCAGGAUGACGGCUCUAUGAGUUGUAAACUGCUUUUGUACGAGGGUAAACCCCGAUACGUGUAUCGGGUUGAAAGUAUCGUACGAAUAAGGAUCGGCUAACUCCGUGCCAGCAGCCGCGGUAAUACGGAGGAUCCGAGCGUUAUCCGGAUUUAUUGGGUUUAAAGGGUGCGUAGGCGGUUUGAUAAGUUAGAGGUGAAAUGUCGGGGCUCAACCCCGAAACUGCCUCUAAUACUGUUGGACUAGAGAAUAGUUGCGGUAGGCGGAAUGUAUGGUGUAGCGGUGAAAUGCUUAGAGAUCAUACAGAGCACCGAUUGCGAAGGCAGCUUACCAAACUAUAUCUGACGUUGAGGCACGAAAGCGUGGGUAGCAAACAGGAUUAGAUACCCUGGUAGUCCACGCAGUAAACGAUGAUAACUCGUUGUCGGCGAUACACAGUCGGUGACUAAGCGAAAGCGAUAAGUUAUCCACCUGGGGAGUACG